CGGGUCUAGGUACCCUUGCCCCUGGAGGGGGGAACUGCACCCAGACCCAGGUGGUGUUACCCUUUUCCCUGCGGUGGGGGGAGGCAGACCGCCCCGACUCCGCAGCAGCAGGGAGGCCCCACACUCCAGACCGCAGUCGGACGGCCAACUCCUCCUCCUAGCCCCCCCGCUCCAGCAGGCCGCAGAGAAUGGGGUAAAGAGGCCAUGGGCUGAUAGGAUACUGGGUGCUUGGAGGCAGUUGUUGGACCAUACAAGGUAUAAGAUUCCUCUUUUUGAACACUGCAGGGGUCAAGGUGGCUUUCUGAUGAGCACUCAAGCAGUUACUGUCACCGUCUGGCUGGCAGACCGUGGGGAUGAGGAAAGUAGGACCCAAAACGCAGGACUCUGCAAUGCCACAGUGCACUUUAUUUACAGUGAAUAGACAGGUCAGUCCAACAAUUAACUCAGAUGUAAUUUGCCAAUGGUGCUCAUCCCUUGCUCCCAGUGCGUCCCGUGCUGUAGCCCCC
ensembl:lncRNA